GACGAACGCUGGCGGCGUGCUUAACACAUGCAAGUCGAGCGAGUGGAUUCCCUUCGGGGAUGAAGCUAGCGGCGGACGGGUGAGUAACACGUGGGCAACCUGCCUUAUAGAGGGGGAUAGCCUUCCGAAAGGAAGAUUAAUACCGCAUAACAUCAGAUUAUCGCAUGGUAGCCUGAUCAAAGGAGCAAUCCGCUGUAAGAUGGGCCCGCGUCGCAUUAGCUAGUUGGUGAGGUAACGGCUCACCAAGGCGACGAUGCGUAGCCGACCUGAGAGGGUGAUCGGCCACAUUGGGACUGAGACACGGCCCAGACGCGUCCGGGAGGCAGGAGUGGGGAAGAUUUCACAAUGGGGCAAACCCUGAUGCAGCAACGCCGCGUGAGUGAUGAAGGCCUUCGGGUUGUAAAGCUCUUUGAUCAGGGACGAUAAUGACGGUACCUGAAGAACAAGCCACGGCUAACUACGUGCCAGCCGCCGCCGUAACAC
rnacentral:rRNA from 1 species